GUCGCGACGGUGUAAUGGCGUCGCCUUGCCGCACGUUUCCCGCGCUUUUUACUUUUUAAUUUAUAGCUCCGAAUACAAGACUAGAAAUGGCGAUCAAAACGAGCUCACUUACGAAAACGUGCGCAUGUUUUCUCGUGGCCGUUAACUUUAUUGUGUUGAUGGCAAGUAUUUUCCUGUUCUCCUGUGGUCUAUGGACUAUAGUGUCUCCCGGGUCCCUGAACUACGCGAUACAGGUGUUCGGAACGCCCCAUAUGAAGACAUUAUUUCCAGAAGAAGCGUUGACAUUCCAGCUUGGAUUAGCAGCGGCCAUGUUGGCUAUAUUUUUCUUCUUUAUAUCGUUCAUGGGACUGUAUGGUGCCAUCGCUCGAUCACCAUUUCUAUUGUUUAUG